AUACAGAUGAUAUAUAAUCACGACAUCGUGGAAAUAUCAAAUCUUCGGAGCCUUGGGAUGAGCCUGCGUCUGAUUAGGUAGUUGGCGGAGUAAUAGCCCACCAAGCCUACGAUCAGUAGCUGGUCUGAGAGGAUGAUCAGCCACACUGGAACUGAGACACGGUCCAGACUCCUACGGGAGGCAGCAGUAAGGAAUAUUGCUCAAUGGGGGAAACCCUGAAGCAGCAACGCCCGCGUGAAGGAUGAAAUACUUUGUAUGUAAACUUCUGUAAGAUGGGAAAAAUAUUCUCCUCGGGAGAAUUGAUUGUACCAUCAGAGUAAGCCCCGGCUAACUACGUG
rnacentral:rRNA from 1 species